rnacentral:rRNA from 1 species
CCUACGGGAGGCAGCAGUAGGGAAUAUUCGUCAAUGGGCGCAAGCCUGAACCAGCAAUGCCGCGUGAACGAGGAAGGCCUUCGGAUUGUAAAGUUCUGUUAAUCGGGAAAAAGAUCGUAGGGAGGAUAUCGUCUCCGAUUGACGUUACCGAUCGAGGAAGCCCCGGCUAACUCCGUGCCAGCAGCCGCGGUAAUACGUAGGUUGCAAGCGUUAAGCGGAAUUAUUGGGCGUAAAGGGUGCGUAGGCGGGCGGUUUAGUCAGAUGUGAAAUGUACCGGCUUAAACCGGUAAUUGCUUCUGAUACUGGUCGGCUAGAGGGUAGGAGAGGGGGGUGGAAUUCCAUGUGUAGCGGUGGAAUGCGUAGAUAUGUGGAAGAACACCGGUGGCGAAGGCGGCCGCCUGGAC